ensembl:lncRNA
AGAUCCAACGCAACUCCCAAUACAUCUCCUCAAACCAACAACCGCCCUGCAUCCAACACAACCUCCCAAUACAUCUCCUCAAACCAACCAACAACCGCCCUGCAUCCAACACAACCUCCCAAUACAUCUCCUCAAACCAACAACCGCCCUGCAUCCAACACAACCUCCCAAUACAUCUCCUCAAACCAACAACCGCCCUGCAUCCAACACAACCUCCCAAUACAUCUCCUCAAACCAACCAACAACCGCCCUGCAUCCAACACAACCUCCCAAUACAUCUCCUCAAACCAACCAACAACCGCCCUGCAUCCAACACAACCUCCCAAUACAUCUCCUCAAACCAACCAACAACCGCCCUGCAUCCAACACAACCUCCCAAUACAUCUUCUCAAACCAACCAACAACCGCCCUGCAUCCAACACAACCUCCCAAUACAUCUCCUCAAACCAACCAACAACCGCCCUGCAUCCAACACAACCUCCCAAUACAUCUUCUCAAACCAACCAACAACCGCCCUGCAUCCAACACAACCUCCCAAUACAUCUCCUCAAACCAACCAACAACCCCUGCCCUGCAUCCAACACAACCUCCCAAUACAUCUCCUUAAACCAACAACCACCCUGCAUCCAACACAACCUCCCAAUACAUCUCCUCAAACCAACCAACAACCGCCCUGCAUCCAACACAACCUCCCAAUACAUCUUCUCAAACCAACCAACAACUGCCCUGCAUCCAACACAACCUCCAAUACAUCCCUCAAACCAACCAACCGCCCUGCAUCCAACACAACCCUCCCAAUACAUCUCCUCAAACCAACCAACAACCGCCCUGCAUCCAACACAACCUCCCAAUACAUCUCCUCAACCAACAACCGCCCUGCAUCCAACACAACCUCCCAAUACAUCUCCUCAAACCAACCAACAACCGCCCUGCAUCCAACACAACCUCCCAAUACAUCUCCUUAAACCAACAACCACCCUGCAUCCAACACAACCUCCCAAUACAUCUCCUCAAACCAACCAACAACCGCCCUGCAUCCAACACAACCUCCCAAUACAUCUUCUCAAACCAACCAACAACCGCCCUGCAUCCAACACAACCUCCCAAUACAUCUCCUCAAACCAACCAACAACCGCCCUGCAUCCAACACAACCUCCCAAUACAUCUCCUCAACCAACAACCGCCUGCAUCCAACACAACCUCCAAUACAUCUCCUUAAACCAACAACCACCCUGCAUCCAACACAACCUCCCAAUACAUCUCCUCAAACCAACAACCGCCCUGCAUCCAACACAACCUCCCAAUACAUCUCCUCAAACCAACCAACAACCGCCCUGCAUCCAACACAACCUCCCAAUACAUCUCCACAACCAACCAACAACCACCCUGCAUCCAACACAACCUCCCAAUACAUCUCCUCAAACCAACAACCGCCCUGCAUCCAACACAACCUCCCAAUACAUCUCCUCAAACCAACAACCACCCUGCAUCCAACACAACCUCCCAAUACAUCUCCUCAAACCAACAACAACACAACCGCCAUCCCCAACACAACCUCCCAAUACAUCUCCUCAAACCAACCAACAACCGCCCUGCAUCCAACACAACCUCCCAAUACAUCUCCUCAAACCAACAACAACCGCCCUGCAUCCAACACAACUCACAAAUACAUCUCCUCAAACCAACCAACAACCGCCUUGCAUCCAACACAACCUCCCAAUACAUCUCCUCAAACCAACCAACAACUGCCCUGCAUCCAACACAACCUCCCAAUACAUCUUCUCAAACCAACCAACAACCGCCCUGCAUCCAACACAACCUCCCAAUACAUCUCCUCAAUCCAGUCACCAGGGUCUACCAGUCACAAGUCAGCACACCAUAAACUGCGGGAAUUUAAUGUCUCUGCUGCUGGAUGUCUCAAUGUUUUAUUUCUCACUUGUCUCUAUAUAA